rnacentral:rRNA from 1 species
AUGAACGCUGGCGGCGUGCCUAAUACAUGCAAGUCGAGCGAACGGACGAGAGGCUUGCUUUUCUGAUGUUAGCGGCGGACGGGUGAGUAACACGUGGAUAACCUACCUAUAAGACUGGGAUAACUUCGGGAAACCGGAGCUAAUACCGGAUAAUAUUUUGAACCGCAUGGUUCAAAAGUGAAAGACGGUCUUGCUGUCACUUAUAGAUGGAUCCGCGCUGCAUUAGCUAGUUGGUAAGGUAACGGCUUACCAAGGCAACGAUGCAUAGCCGACCUGAGAGGGUGAUCGGCCACACUGGAACUGAGACACGGUCCAGACUCCUACGGGAGGCAGCAGUAGGGAAUCUUCCGCAAUGGGCGAAAGCCUGACGGAGCAACGCCGCGUGAGUGAUGAAGGUCUUCGGAUCGUAAAACUCUGUUAUUAGGGAAGAACAUAUGUGUAAGUAACUGUGCACAUCUUGACGGUACCUAAUCAGAAAGCCACGGCUAACUACGUG